UUGUAAAGGACCACUUUAGAAUUUUAAAGUUUUGGGUUAUUGGUAAAUAUUUGUAAAUGUUUGCAAUUUAUUUAAAUAAUUCUUAUUUAAAUAAUGAUAUUUGUAUGCGCUUCGAUGUUAUUUGUAUGUGAUUGACCGGAAAUUCUGUGCACCUGUAAUGUUGAAAUUUGUCCCUUUGGUGGCACCGUAGUUUGCACAAGGGAAGAUGAACCUUCAAGGUGGCUGUCGGGUGCGAAUGAUACGUAGCAUUGUUUGAGCUUAUAUGGAUUUUAUCUGAGAUUGUGUUUAUACAUGAACUUAAACAACUUGACGCCCGUUUUAUGACGGAAGAAAGGAUUAUCCUAUAUUGUUUUGCAUUCCUUGGUGAGCGCAGCGAGUUCACCCAGAGGCUCGCGCCGGGGUCUGCAGUCACGCGGGUGUCCAUCAGUGUCCAUCUGAGUUUCUGCUGUGUGGAAGACCAUGACUUUUGUCUUUCCCUGUGGGAUCACAUAAGUGGACGGUGACUCUGUUGAGGAGACCCGAGAACCAGUCAAGAGUAGCGUAAAGGGUCAACAGAUAAAACGACGAACUUGAAGUUUACUUUUUUCUUGACUUUGUAUGAAAUACUUUCUGUGAUAAGUUAUUAAAAGGAUGAUUACAAAAAAAAGUUUAAUUGUUUUUCAACAUUUCCAUGCCUUUAAAGUUUUGGUCUUUAGAUCAGGUUUCCUCAAAGCGUUAGCUGAUGUCCUCUUUCACGAUGUCCAGGAUGCCUUGAAA
ensembl:lncRNA